rnacentral:misc_RNA from 1 species
CGCGUGUGAUCACCGACAACCAAAGUAUUAGCCGUAGUAGCCAAUGGAUAGAGAGGGAAGCUACUCGUCCCACAGCACACGUCGUGCCAGCGGCAGCGUGGGCAAUCAACGAUGGGGCUCCAGCAACGGAAGCUCCGGCACUGCCGUCGGCGCCGCUGGCGAGGAUUUCAACUCUCUCAUCGUUUCGUUUUACACCCGUGUGUAUCCCUCCGCGGAUGUCUUCGCUGACGACGCCGCGGAGUUUGACCUGGAGGACAUCAGCGAGGCUGUCACGGAGCUCGCAAAUGAGGUGUCAGCGCUGCAAGAGGAAACUCACGUACUUGGCGCCCACGUGCAGACACUGCAGCAGCGGCGUCCAGGUGGUGGCGCCACCGUGAAUAUCCCCAACAUCUCUGAAUCCGCGGGCAUUCAGCUCGAUGCGGCCGACACUAGCGGCUCAGGUGCGCUCUCGCCCGUAGAUACCACCGUUUUUCUUCUCGGCGGCGACUAUGAGCUUUCCAUGGGCACCCCGCGCACAUCUGGCGGCGGCGCGGCCGAUACGAUCGGCAGCGCGAGCGGAACCGGCCGGCGCGGCCGCAGCUUCCGUCGCCGCUCGCUCGCUGACGUAGAUGCCUUCAUGCGGGUAGACGACAAGGCCGUGCUGCUGCGGCAGGAAACGGCUCGGCUGCGCACGCAGGAAGAAAAGGCCGCUAAGGAGGCGGAGGGCGUGCACGAGAUGCUCGUCGCCACCGUCGAGGAGGCCAUUCGACGUCGGCAGGAGCUCCGCCUUGAGAUGCUGCAAUUUGAGCGUGAGGUACUGCGGAAGGGAGGCGUAGAGGACGGCAAGGCGGAAGUUUCCGCGCACCGACGCAGCCCUUUUCGGGACGCGAAGAAGCUGACGGUCUCAUCGGCGGCUGCCGCGACAACCGCAGACGAGCUGCUGCGCUACCUAGAGCGCCGGCACAGCGCUCAGGUGAGCUACCUCGACAAGCUGGAGGUGCAAUGCCAGGCGGCGCAGCAGGAUAUCGCACGAGCACAGCAGCUGGUGCGGCAGCGUCGCGCCGCCGGUGAGGCAUUCCAAGCCGUUGACAUGGAGCAGCUGCGCAUCGAGCACAAGCAGUUUAGCGAGCGCAUGGAGGCCAAGAACAAAGAGCUGGCGGAGCUAAAGGGCACGUCGACGCGCACGGUGCAGCAGCUGAACCACCUCAUGGGCCAACUCAACGAGCUGGCGAGCGAACAGGCCCGGCUGAAGCGCGAGGCGAAGAGCCGCUCAGAAUACCUGUCGCGCUGCGGGAAAGAGAUCGCGACGGCGACGGCGGAGGCCCUGCAGGCGGAGUCGAAGCACAUGGCACUCAAGGCACAGCAGGAGGCUGUCAAGGUGCCCAAGAUUGAGGAGUACAUGGCGCAGAAGGCAGAGGAGGUGGAGCUCCAGAAGGCGGUGAAGAACUUGGAGCGCAAGGUGCAGAUUGCCGAAGGACAGGCCGCGGUGGUGCGACAGCAGUCGCGUCGGUUGCAGGCGCAGCGCGCAUCUGCCAUAAAAUACGCGAAUGAGAAGCGCCUGAGUCGCAAUUCCGCCACGUCGAGGACCACAGCCUCAGCAGCAGCGACAGCAUCUUCGCGGCCUGCAGCGGGAAGUGCGCGUAGCCUGUUAAUGCAGCACCGGCAACAGCGGGAACAUGAACAGCAGUCGCCAUCGCUGCCAGAAGCGAGCACCGUCGAGCAAGACGGUAGCGCUGCAGUACCAGCGGCGGAUCAGCCAGCAGCAGCGGCGACGGCGGCGACGGUCUCAUCCAUGUAAAACGAAUAGGGCUGAAAGGAAACGAGAAGUACGGUGAGAUGCGCGCAGACCAGGAAAGUUGGAGGCUGCGGUUCUUGCAGCAGGAAGCUGCACGGUCUUUACCGCCGCCGCCGCCCCCACUCAUACAUCUGUGUGUGCGUUCUUUAGAGGUGGUGGCAGAGCAGAGAGGGCGAGAAAGAAAGGGAGGCAAGGAGAGAUCGUGUAAUCGUCUUCCCGACAAAGGCGCGGUGCGUUCCCAUCCCCUCGCGCCUCGCCCACCCAACUCGCUUCGACUCCACACACACACGCACACAUCACACACAUAUUUGGCGCAUCAUGUACAUCUACCACCACCACGGUAAGUGCAAGUCGCACAAGGACUGAAUUGCAGGAAGGUUACCGCUGCCUUUUCUAGUGCUUGACUUUUCGUUGGAAACCGUCUCUGUGGUACGGCCCAGUCCCACACUCAAUCUUGCUCACUGAAGCGUGCGCACAUGACCCGCUAAUGCGCAAGCGACAGCGGCGGUGGCACCGGAGAGAUGCACGCGCAUGUCUUUCCCUCACUGGAGCGUGAGCACGCACGCGUGGGUGGAUAGGUGAGCCGGAGGACACCCAGAGCUGGUUUCGUAACCGUACGAGAGACCCCUCACUGUCACCACGCGGGUACUCUUCCGGCGCAGUGUCGGCGUAGUACGGAAUCUCAG